AUACUGUGGGGGAGUUUCCAUGUGGCCCCAGGUGUGCUGAGGUGGAAGAAUGAAAGCUGCCCUUGAGAGCUCAAGAGAGAGAGGAAGGGAAACAGCUGUGAGCAUCUCUGGGAGGAAGAGACGGUAAAAUGCACACACAGGUGUUCUCAGACAACCUCUGGAGGUAUCCAGCACACGGGGAAUCUCUCCAGUGACCCCAUAGCACAUCCCUGGAGCUUCAGCUCAAGAGUUGAGGAAACUGAGCACAGAGAGUUAAUGAACGUGCCCAAGAUUACGGGUUGAAGUGAAGAGGAUUCGUGCCCACAUCUGUUUAACUAUGCUCCUCACCACCCAAGUCUAAAGAGUGGAAAUCUCACCAAAUUUGGGGGUAAUCUGGUAGGACUGUUAAGAAGCAAAUGCGGCAAUUUUCUUGCUAAGGCUGCUUUGGGAAGUCUCAUAUUUCAGAUUACCAAUUUUUGAAGAAUUGGCUUACUGUAAAAACAAUGCACAUGCAUUUCACAAGAGCAUAAGUAAAUCUUUAUGGUGAUUCAGAGAAACCUUAGAAACAGAAAAUGUCAGGGUUUUCUGGGUUGGCAUCAUUAUCAUCGUACAAGACUAUAGGGGUGGGAGAUAAGAUCUGGUUAUUUUAGAUUCCUAGAUAUUUAGAUUCUGGCUGAAUGUCAUUUAUUUUGUAAUUAACAUCAUGUGUCACAUCUCAACAAUAAAUGCAAGGUAGUGUCUAGUAGGGAAGUCUGAUUAGUAAGUCUUGCAUUAGUGUCUUGUUAAUAGUCCAUAUAUGAAGGACUAACUCUUGUUAACUGAAGAUAGCCUUUUUAGUUGAUUAUGGACAUGAUUAUUUGAAAAUGCUGAUGGACUUCCCACACUCAACUGCUUUUAAAUUCACAAGUUCUUUUCUUCUGGAAACGUGUUUGAUGUAUUACAAUGUCAUGUUCUGAUUGGCAUGAUGUACCUGAAGCGGGGAGCUGCCUUCCCUUUCUGGGAGCUUUCUCUCCUCCUCCCCUUUCCAGUGAUAGUUUAACAGGUCCUGAGGCUGCUGCGUGCCACAAGACAGGAGGGCCACUUCCAGCAUCACUGAGAUCUAGAAGGAAAGUUCAGUCUUCAUGUUUAGUUAAAAUCUAGUCCAAUUCCUCUUGCUCAUUUUGGUAUUUGGAAGAGCAUCCCUAUUUUUGCCUUCCUUUCCAAUAAGCUGUAACUCCUCCAGAUCUUCUCAGGAGAAUAAAUCACUCACU
rnacentral:lncRNA from 1 species